GCCUAGCCCUAAACCUUGGUAAUAUAUCACAUACCCUACCCGCCUGGGAACUACGAGCACCAGCUUAAAACCCAAAGGACUUGGCGGUGCUUUAGACCCCCCUAGAGGAGCCUGUUCUAGAACCGAUAACCCCCGUUCAACCUCACCCUUCCUUGUUUAUCCCGCCUAUAUACCGCCGUCGUCAGCUUACCCUGUGAAGGCCUAAAAGUAAGCACAACUGGCACAACCCAAAACGUCAGGUCGAGGUGUAGCGCAUGGAGGGGGAAGAAAUGGGCUACAUUCCCUAUACUAGGGAACACGAACGGCGCACUGAAACACGCGCCUGAAGGAGGAUUUAGUAGUAAGCGGAAAAUAGCGUGUUCCACUGAAAUCGGCCCUGAAGCGCGC
rnacentral:rRNA from 1 species